rnacentral:rRNA from 1 species
GACGAACCGUGCGAACGUUGUUCGGAUUCACUGGGCUUAAAGGGCGCGUAGGCGGGCUCGCAAGUCAGGGGUGAAAUCCUCCGGCUCAACCGGAGAACUGCCUUUGAUACUGCGGGCCUAGAGGGAGGUAGGGGUCGACGGAACUUCCGGUGGAGCGGUGAAAUGCGUAGAUAUCGGAAGGAACGCCGGUGGCGAAAGCGGUCGACUGGACCUCUGCUGACGCUGAGGCGCGAAAGCCAGGGGAGCAAACGGG